rnacentral:lncRNA from 1 species
AGAAUCCUAGCGCUCUGAAUCGUCAACUUGUAAAUCAUUACCUGCAUCAUGAGAUGCAGGCCCCGGGAAAAAGGGAUGUCAGUACAUUUGAAUUGCACUGGUAUGUAAAACAACUGAAAGAAAGAACUGUAAAUGCUGAAACUAAAAUUAAACUGAUAACUGAUAACUGAGAACAUAUACUAAUAAUUGAUAGCUGAACUGAUAACUAAACUGAUAACUGAUAACUGAACUGGACAAAGUAAGUAAGGAUAUGAAUACUUCCUCUUCUGAAUGAUGAACAACCUAUUUAUCUGAAUAAAUAAACUGCAGCCUUAGGCCCAAUAUAUAUGUGCACAAACUUCGGCCUCGGGCCCAAGUAUACGUAUACAUAACUGCGGCGUCAGGCCCAAAGAUGCAUAAAGCAUAAAAUGCAACCUAGGGCCCAAAUACACGUGUUCACCAUUCAGGGAUUUAAAAACAGGAACUGAGAAUCGUACUAUAAUACAUGAUACUGAAUACUAAACCAUACUGAGUUACAUGAUACUUGAAUGCUGAAUAGAACUGGAUUGAGACAUGUAAUAAUGAACUAAUUAUGAAAAUUGAAACUUCAAUUGUUAAUGACAUGCUGAGUAAUCUAGGUUGAGACUCAUAGGCAUCAAACCCAAGUCUAUAUUGAUUAUGCACCGAGCUCACAACGUUUAGAAUGAAAGUCAUGAACGAGUUAUGAAGCUAGAUAAUAGAAGUUCUGCAACUAUUCAAGGAACUAGACUUCACUAUACUUCUGAGACAAUUAGUAAUGUCGUAACGUAGUGUAGGGAGAAUCAUUAGCAUUCCCAAACAUAGAGAGUUAGCCUCACAUACCUUAACUUGUUGAUCUUGAGCGUAGUACAACAUUCGCCAACCUUUUCAACUUUAAUCUAUACCAAUACAAGUCAAAGGGAUUCCAUAUUAGCAAUAAUACUCAUGUUUUGGUCACUUAGGCAUUUUCUCAAAUACUUUGUGGUCAUAAAGCUUCAUAAACCUUAUUAAUAGUAUUUCUACACCAACAACCCAUUCUCUUGCUCAUAAAUAAAUUCUAAAAUCUCAAUUUGCUAUAAUUAAUACCAUUCUUCAUCACCCACAAGAUAAAUAACACCCUUAUUAAAUAAUCAACAAUCAACAACCCAAACCUAUAAUCGUUCAUGCUUUUCUAUCAAACCCAUCAACUCAUAUCUCAUGAACAUAGAGUCUGUAAUCAUUAAUCCAAUACUAUAAUCAAUUAGAAGGUGAAGACAUUACAUUUUUGAAGUCCAAUCCUCUUGAAUUCGAGUUCUAGGGUUUCUUUUCUCAACCAUGAUGUCCUAAUCAAAUAUAUAAUAAUUUGAAGGGUUUACCCACGUUAAUAAGGUGUUGGGGAAUUAAAAUUGACUUAGAAUCACCAUUAGAACUUACAUUAGAUGAGGAGGGGCCUUGAAGGAGUUAGAUUCUUGAGAGCUUCCCUUUCUAGAGCAAGUUUUUGUAAUUUGGGGUGUGAGGGACGAAGUAGGGCUUUAAAAAUGAACCCAUCCCCCUCACCGAAUGCUCUCCCACGUACCUGAAGGUCCAACCGCACACCUGGAUGCGCAUCAGGACAGUAGCACUACCACAAGUGCGCGGCCGCGCACGAGACAAUCCGGGCACGCACAUGGGCGCACAUACUGUGCAUUGUCUAGUAAAACGUACAUAACUGUUCGCUCAAAGAUCUAUUUGGGCUCCACAAUAUAUAGUUGGAAAUAUAUUUUAAAGGAAUACAACUUUUAUGUUUCACAUUUUCCCAAAUUCCCAACUAACAUUUGCGAAAUUCUUCUAGAAGAUAGACCUUCAAUAAACUUAGUCAAUUUUAUCGAAUCUUAUGCACCUCACUCUCCGUCUUGAUUCCAAAACAACUAUUUCCACCCAUAAUCAUUUCAAUAGGAUUUUAUAUGUCAAAAAUAUCACACUAAUACUCGUUUAACAUGUCCAUACCUAGUCCGAAUUUACGGAGUAUUUCAUUAUCUCCCCCUUGGGAUCAUUCAUCCUCGAAUGAUUGUCCUGACUGUAACUUCGGCUAACUCUGGACCUUAAAUAGGUCUGGUGGAAACAUGAACUUUCAUGAACACUUGCAUACUAAACUGAAUGAAUACAUGAUUACUAAACUGCGGAGAUACUGAACUGAAUGACUACUGCAUUGACUGAAUACUAGAGGACGUGGAGAUUAUAAUAUAAAGUCUGAACGAAAAGGUUAGUUAACUUCAACAUUUAUCCAAAACACCUUCCAGCUAACAAAGAAUAACACAAGCCUCAUAGAGCAUCAUAAUGCGCAUAACAUGAAAUAUAUACGUGAAUACUAGUCUGCCAUGGAUACGUGAAUACUGAACUAACAUGGAUAUGAAUAUUGAACUGGCACGAAUAUUUGAGUACUGAACUGACAUCAAUAUCUAAGUACUAAGUUGGCAUGGAUAUCUAAGUACUGGAUUGACUUGAGUAUCUGACUAAUGAACUGACAUGAAUAUCUGAGUACUGGAAACUUGAAUGUUAUAACAUGAUACGUGAAAUACUAGCUGUAUAGCCGCAAAUUCUAGUGGAAACUCUAACUCAUAAGCUAACUGAACGAUCCUUCAUAGGAUCCUAUACUGCCCGAUAUAUCUGGGACUAAGCUUUCUUUGCUUCCCAAAUGUUAUAACACCUUUCAUAGGCGAAACUUUCAGAAACACCCAAUCAUCAACUUGAAACUCUAGGUCUCUAUGCCGUACAUUCGAAUAGGACUUUUGGGCAACUUUGAGCCGUAUUCAAAUGCUCUUAAAUCAACUUGCCUUUCUCCAUAGCCUGAUAGAGCAAAUCUUGUCCCAACAAAUCUGUUUCACCAACUUUUAACCCACCAAUUGGUUAUAUACACCUUCACCCAUACAGAGCUUCGUACGGUGUCAUCGUGAUACUAGAAAGAUAGGUGUUAUUAUUAGAAAACUCAUUGAGAGGUAUGUGAUCAUCCCAAUUACCUUUAAAAUCAAGCACAUAUUCUCAAGUGUCUGAAUAGUGCGCUUUGCCUGGCCAUAUUUCUGAGGAUGAAAAACUAUGCUGAGGUUUACUCUUAUGCCUUAUCUUUUCUGAAAGGUCUUCUAAAAGUUCAUUGUAAAUUGAGAACCACGAUCUGAAAUGAUGGACAACACAGUCUCAUGCAAUCAGACGAUUUCCUGAAUGUACAACUUGGCAUAAUCUUCUGCUGAAUCUAUGGUCUUUACUAGCAAGGAGUGCGCUGACUUGGUAAGUCGAUCUGUAAUCAUCCAAUUAAAUCAUGCUUUCAAAAUGGGUGAGAAAAUCCUGUUAUAAAUUCCAUAUUUACCAUCUCCACUAAGAAUAUGUGUAUUCUGUGGUAAAACACUAGGUUUUCUAUUGCUCGACUUUCACUUAUUGAUAAUUAGGACACUUGGCCACAAAGUCUGCGACGUUCUUUUUUAUGUCGUUCCACCAAUCAAUCUCCUUGAGAUCAUGAUACAUCUUUCUAGAACCAAGGUAAAUACAAUACUUGAAUUUAUGGGCUUCUAACAUGGUCCUCCUUCUCUAAGUCCAUCUAUAUCUGGAACACACAAUCCGUUUUGGUACUUCAAAGUACAAUCAUCUUCCCCUUGUUCAAAAGCUAUCAUUUUAUACUUGUGAAUCCCUCUUUUAGUUGCAAUAAGUAGAGAUCAUCAAAUUGUUUUUCUUUCACUUUUGCUACUAAGGAGAAACAAGUCAUGCUCUGGAUAACAACUCCACCAUCUUCGGAGUCCAAAAGUCAAACUCCUCGCUUGGCUAAGCGGUGAACUUCUUUCACCACAGUUCUCUUGUCUACCUCAAUAAUGAGCUAUUCUUCCCAUACUUAAUUAUCUUUUCAAUGUACUUCUUGAAAAGAUUUACAUCAUUGUUGUGACCUAAGUCUUUGACCAAUACUCCAAAGAUUAGAGUCUCGUGCAAUGACACUACCCUCGUGAUACAUAACUGGGCAUGAUUUUAUAGUUUUUUAUAUCCUGUGCUAACUAUGCAGGUUUCAAAUCUCCAACUAGACUUACGGACGAUUUUCACAUCUCCCCUUAGACCAAAGGUUAAGGUCUUGUACUUGAGGAUCCUUCUCUUAUGUUGGGAUCCAAACAAUUGUCCUUAUCUCCUGCAAUUCUUUGUACUUUACGUCAAUGAUGACUCAUCUUCUGAAUUACUUUUGAGCAAUCUUUCUUACUAGAAAAACUAAAUUACUUACAUAAAUGGAAGGUUAAUGUAUUCACAACUAUCGUACAUAAUCUUAAUAAUUUAACUCUGCUCACACUGUCAAUCUUGGGGAACCUCUUUUUGAUAACUCUUAAAGGUUAUUCUUCUGUAACUUGCUCUCUUACUACUGAGCUAUUUUUCCACUAUCACUGAACUUUAGGUUUAACUUAAACUCUAUGUGUUCUAACACGCGUUCGGUGUUGCAAACUAUUACCAACUCACUAGUGUUAUCAUGUCUAAGUAAAUCAAAUCGUACAUCUACUAGCUCUGUUGAAAUUGCUAAUUCAUUGUAUCUACUCAAAACUUACUUACUAUUCUUUUACUAACCACCUGCUAGCAUCAUGUUUUUUAGUUCUGCUUUGAAUAACUAAAGUGAAACAUAAGGUUAUUCCUAACUUCCCUCACCAUCUGACCCUAUUCUACGGCCGCAUACUAUCAUUCUUUUAAUUGUGUACAUGGAUCAGACUUAGAGAAAUUUCAUCUGUCUUAAAUAAAAAUUGGAAUAUCUAACCCCAAACUUUCUAAACAUUUCAAAACCAUAUCAGACUAUAAACAUCUGGGGUAAACACUUGGUCACAUAACCUAAGGGGGAACUAUCUUAUCUUUUAUCUCACAAUAAUAGCGGCUUCCCAUUUCAUAAAUCAUAUCUUCUUAGUCAUAUGCAUGAGUCGUAUGAAAAACACAUAAUUGGUAAUAACAAACAUUUCUGAUUCCUAGGUAUUUUUCCAUUAGGCUCCUUUCUAUACAAAACUAUAGUGAUCAAUUCUAUGCCCGCUAGAUCUGACAUCUAAACUAUCAUCAUCCAACAUGUGGCUCCAUUUCCAAGAAUUAAAAAUGAAAUAAUUCCAUGAGGUAAAACACAUAUGGAUACACUACCAUACACAAACUUGUCCUUUAAAGUAUACCAUCAUAUGAUAAAUCACUUCAUGCACAGUCCAGUGAGUCUUGGGUCUUAAUCCGGACCUAAAAUAUGCAAAGAUUUCACUAUAAUCAAUGUUACUUAUAUUUUCUUUUAGCACCCAUAGGCAUCAUUGUAUACUCACAAGUCACCUUUAUUUGGAUACAUUAAAAAUUGGAGAUGUGGUAACUGAAUAACUGAAUACAGGGAUGCUAAAUAACCAUAAACCUGCUAACUGAAAGACUAUACAACUGGCAACUUAGGUAAACCGAUAACCAUAGAACAUGAUAACUGUUUUUGUACUUUCUGAUAAGGUUAUGCUCUAAUCUGUACUACUACCUAUUGCAUCCCACUUUUAACAUCAUCUCAAGUCUCAUUUGUUACCAACCUAUACUCCAUAAUUAUACCCCAAUGGGCAAUCGUCUUCUCUAGGACCUUGAGUUUUUCCUACCCGUCGCUUAGGCAUUCGAUGCAUUUGGAAUUCGAUAGGAAGAGAAGGUUACCUAUUGCUCUGAACUUCAUGGCAUGAUCUAGAGUAGAAAGAAGACAAUCCUGAAUGUCUUGGUAGUUAACCGUUUAUAUGAGUAGACGACACACAUAUAAAGCAAAUUCCACUGGACACGACUUCAUAGACUCCCUAGGACUCUUGAACCUAGGGUUAUGAUACCAAGUUUUGUCACGCCCCAAACCUGGGCCUGGACGUAAUACGACACCUGAUGCCUAAGUACAUGUGACCGAGCAAACCAAUUGGCUGGCUGAAUCAAUAUGUGAUAUCAUAACAUACUGAAUGCAGAAGAUAAACUAGCACAUGCUGAUAUACUGAAAGUCUGAAUAAUAUAAAUCAAAAAAGCGAAAACACUAAUAUAAUUCUGAAACAUAUCUGUAGAAAACAUUGCUUAAGAUGAAAAACCUGCCACUCUGUCUAACUUCUCUAGUCUAUGAAGCCUUUAAUGAAGUACGAAAAAUACUAGUUGUCUGAAAAUAGUAAAGACUGUAAGGUAAUGCUAAUGCCCUGAACGAACUGGGGAUCACCAAAUAGCUGGUAAGAGAAUCCUAGCGCUCUGAAUCGUCAAUCUGUAAAUCAUUACCUGCAUCAUGAAAUGCAGGUCCCGGGCAAAAGGGACAUCAGUACAUUUAAAUUGCACUGAUAUGUAAAGAAACUAAAAGAAAGAACUGUAAAUGCUGAAACUGAAAUUAAACUGAUAAUUGAUAACUGGGAAUAGGUAUUAAUAAUUGAUAGCUGAACUGAUAAAGAAACUGAUAACUGAAUAAGGAAGUAAGGAUAUGAAUACUCCCUCUUCUGAAUGAUGAACACCCUAUUUAUCUGAAUAAAUAAACUGUAGCCUCAGGCCCAAUAUAUGUGUGCACAAACUGCGGCCUCAAGCCCAAAUAUACGUAUACAUAACUGCGACCUCAAGCCCAAAGAUGCAUAAAGUAUAAACUGCAGCCUCAAGCCCAAAUACAGGUGUUCAACAUUCAGGGAUUUAAAAAUAAGAACUGAGAAUCGUACUGUAAUACAUGAUACUGAAAUACUAAACCAUACUAUGUUCAUUAAGUAUAUAACCUGGCUCUGAUACCAACUCAGAACGAGUGUAGUACCGGUGUUGGAGAACGAUAAAUAUCAAGAGGAAGAAUGACGAUUAGUUCUACAAGAGAAUUAUUUUUAAACCAGCAGUCUCAAAAUUGCACUAAGAAAGUAUACCAGAUUAUUGGCUAUAAGGGCUCUCUUAGCAACCUGCCAUAUCAAAAACCGUUUUCUUAGAUCAAACUAAUCAGCUUCUGGUAAUCACUCAUGGAAAGUAAUUACGUCCUUUGUGAUUUCUAAUAUUCUACACUCUGUAAGGAUCAACCAUCAUUUUUAGAGAAGAGAGAACAAGAGAAAGUUUAGAAAGCAAACAUUUUAUUGCACACUUAAUAUUUUUUUCCAGGGAGAGAAUUCGAUGAUCCUCCUGAACUUUGAAGGUCUUCU